UACGUAGGGCGCAAGCGUUGUCCGGAAUUAUUGGGCGUAAAGAGCUCGUAGGCGGCUUGUCGCGUCGUCCGUGAAAACUCACAGCUCAACUGUGAGCUUGCGGUCGAUACGGGCAGGCUUGAGUUCGGUAGGGGAGACUGGAAUUCCUGGUGUAGCGGUGAAAUGCGCAGAUAUCAGGAGGAACACCGGUGGCGAAGGCGGGUCUCUGGGCCGAUACUGACGCUGAGGAGCGAAAGCGUGGGGAGCGAACAGG
rnacentral:rRNA from 1 species